UUUUUUUUUUUUUUUUUUUUUUUUUUUUUUUUUUUUUUUGAAAAACGUUUUUUUUUUUUAAAAGACUGUGAACCGUGCAGCAUCUGUUUGUUUCGAGAUUAAAAACACAAUACCACACACACACAACUCUGUUUUGAAACUCUUCCA
rnacentral:ribozyme from 12 species